rnacentral:rRNA from 1 species
UACGUAGGGUGCAAGCGUUACUCGGAAUUACUGGGCGUAAAGCGUGCGCAGGCGGUUAUGUAAGACAGAUGGGAAAUGCCCGGGCUUAACCUGGGAACUGCAUUUGUGACUGCAUGGCUAGAGUUUGGCAGAGGGGGGUAGAAUUCCACGUGUAGCAGUGAAAUGCGUAGAUAUGUGGAGGAACACCGAUGGCGAAGGCAGCCCCCUGGGUCAAGACUGACGCUCAUGCACGAAAGCGUGGGGAGCAAACAGG